CGCACCGGGGGCCGUGGUCCGGCCACUAACCCCAGCCGGAUUUCCCCUCCUCCUACUCCAUGGGCUCAGAUAGUUGCCUCCCUACAACUAAGCCAGAAUGCUUUAAUGUAUGUUCACCUUUAAAAAAAAAAAACAAAAAAAAAAAACAUGUUCACCAUUAAAAUGUUUGUUCACUUUUGAUAUGCAAUUUGAGGAUCACAUGUUAACUGUAUUGCCAAAUGUCCUCUUACCACGAAUUAUUAGACAUUCGCAAUUGUUAAUUGUACCACAUUGUAUUACAUUGUAAUGUACUGAAUGAUAUGCG